GGAUGGUCUGAGUGCAGUGACGUUUAGAACUAAUUGGUCACAACCAGUUACAGAUUUUUUGCUUCUUCUCCACUCCCACUGCUUCAUUUGAGUAGCUUAAA
rnacentral:Y_RNA from 1 species